rnacentral:rRNA from 1 species
GUCGGCAGCUAGCUCUCUGCAACUCUCACAUGGUCGCCCACUGAAGCUAAGCAGGGCUGCGCCCGAUCAGUACCUGGAUGGGAGACCACAUGGAAAGCUAGGUUGCUGCCGGAA